UGUUCCUUGCUGUUUUAAGUGUUUUUAAGCUGUUUUGGAGUGUUUUAGUGUGUUUUGACAUAAAAAUCCAAAAAUCUCAAAAAAAUUUGAAAAAUUGUUUUGAAAACCCCAAAAAGAGUUGUUUUUGUGUGUUUAUUUGUGCCUUAGGGUACCUUCCAACACAAUGAUGAGGAUUUGGUUUUUAAUUACAUGAGUGUUAAAGAGAGUUAUAAAAAUGGAUGAAAAUUUGAUUUACUCUUUUGGUGUAUGCUUGGUUGUGGUUAUAAUUUAUGAAUUCACAUGCAAUCAUAAAGGAAAAAUAAGUUUUU
rnacentral:lncRNA from 1 species